AAGCACUGACGCACUGACCCUGAGUCGGCUUUCCUCCUCUGGUCACACUACUGCAAAGCUUUGAUCCUGCUCUGCUUGCCACGCCAUCUGGAAGCCACUUGGCCUGAGAGCAUCUCUUCCCAGUGCUGAGAAUCAAACCCAGUGCCUCACACCUGCGAGGUCUUCCAUGUUGUCUCUGGGCAUUUUCUCUGGCCUGUCUGCAACCUACCCCAAUGGCACAACUUGGCUAUGGACAAGACACAUCUGAACAAAAACGUUCUCCACCCUUUUGAAUCACAGUGCACCCUUAGACAGUGAAUUGGUGGAUUCCUGCCAGACAAUAGGCCACACCACUGCCCAGCAACUGUGGAUGGCUGAUGACAUCAUUUUCUACCUUUCAGAAUGUUUCUUUGUACUUCCUUGGUGCCCUUGCUACUUAUGGGUACUGGGGGCAAAGCGCUUGCCUGGGCAAGAGGAGCUGGGACCUCUGGCUCUAGCCCAGCCCAUGUGAGCAGCCUUGUGAGAGGAGUCAGGAGAAACAUGAGGACCUCAUCCUGUGACCUUCUUAUCACUGUCCUGGCCCUGGGAAACUCACCCUGCACUGCUGCUGUUGACUCCGGAGCCCUCAGGGAUGCGCCUAGGUGCAGCCUGAUCCCUGGGUGCC